CAACAACAACCAAAAAAAAAAAAAAAACGAAACCCUUCUCUUUCUUUCCCUGCUGAGGUUUUAGGUCCAUAUUCCAUAACCAAACAGAGAUGGGGGAGAACAAAAGCAAAGAUGGUGGCAAAACGAGAAGCGAAAGCGAGCACUGUGCCUCCACUAUCUUCGCCUCUAACUUGCCCUACUCUUUCAUCAACUCUCAGCUGGAGGAGACAUUCAACGACGUCGGACCAAUUAGGCGGUUCAAAAUACAAAGGUAGCUUUAGGAUCAUAAAAGGCUUCAAACUACUUAGAGAUGUUAUGAGGAAAGUGAAAGCUUCUAAUUGACAAGUUCUUUACCUUGAUCUCAAUAGUCUUAAUCUAGACUAUUUGACAAACUGUAUUAUCUUUUGGAUUUUGAAUAAUUGUAUUGAAUUAUAUUAUUGUCAUGGCUAUACAAUUUCAGUUGGUUAUAUA